ensembl:lncRNA
UUUUCUCUUAUAAGGGCAUUAGCCAUUGGAUUUAAGGUCCGCUCUCUAAAACUGGGUGAUCUCAUCUUGAGAUUCUUAAAUACAUCUGCAAAUCUCUAUUUCCAAAUAAGGUCAUAUUCAGAGCUACCAGAAGUCAAGAUUUGUACAUACCUUUUGGGGGACACAACUCAACUCAUUACAAGGAGCAGCCACGUAGGACACACAAAUUCUCUAACUCUGGGCUAAUUCUGAGCUUUCUAACUAUAUUUAUAUUCCCAAAACCUCUAAUUCAACAAUCUCUCAUUCUUCUUGCCAAAUUCCUACCCAACCUUCAAACCAUUGGAGCCACCCAUGAAUCAGGGUAAAUGCUUAUCUCAGUCUCCCUCCAUUCAGACAAAGUGGGAAAUGAGAUGUAAUGAAGUGAAGGGCAGGUCUACAGGCAGACCAGAUCUUCACCCAGGGACAGACGGAGACCGUGAAAAGGAGCUGCACUGACCUUGCUUCAGCUUGAUACAGACAGGACUACAGAUAUCUCACAGAGGAUGCUAUUCAAGAUGCCCUAGCCCGGUCAGUGACUGUUAAAGAUUAAUAUUUGCAAACCAUUCAAGAUUUGGGAGAGUUACAUGCUGAAGUGAUUAUUUCAUUGGAGACACAGGACUAGUAUACAUCCCACUCUAUGGAAGUGAGACUUUCUCUGAAUAUGUAAAUAUUUCCACUAUUCUGAAAAGAAUUUUCAUUCUGAAAAGAAGCCCACUGUGAACUGGAGUUUGGCCCUUGCCAUCUGCCCCUCCAUGGAUUUAAUCAUGAGCCACUGCAGCUGCUGACCUGCAGCACCCCCUGAGCAGAACUCAGAGUGGAAAUCAGAAAGGAAGUACUCUAUGCUCUGGGUGUGGAAAGUAACAUAAUGUCUUUUCUAUGAAAGGAAAUCUUGGUGACUCCAUUUUGUUCCAGUUUCGGCUGAAAUGCCCUCCUGCAACCCUCCUCCUCUUUCCCUCUUCUCCCAGUAACCAUUUGUUUCAAAUUAGCCACCGGAGAAGAAUGUGCGCCCUGACCUGACCGAUGGGAAGGGGACAGGUACAUCGCCUGCGUUAGGGAUCAAUAGGGAGGGUCUUUUCUUCUUUGUGCUCGCUUUUUGAGCACCUGCGCCCUUCUGCAGAAGUAAAGAGCCUUGUCAAGAUCUCCCCCUGUUCAUGCGUCUCAUUUUCUGACACUGACCAUCCGAGCCAUUUCCCCAAGAUGGGAAAACUUGGAUGAACAGGUCUCCAGACAGAUCUUUUUAGGAGAUUUUAUGUGCCCAAUUCUUGUAUCUCUUCAUAUCUAGAAAAACACUAAAAUCCUUCAUGGUGAUGUCUGCUCCUUGUGACUAGUCGUAACCUUCACGAGACUAGAAACAACCUUUUGUAAAAUGUGUGCCUGACUACAGGUACCCCCCCCUCACCUUUAUAUAUGCUGAUAUUAUUUCCCCCUGCCUCUUUCUAUCUGCCUCUUUCAGAAAGCGCUGAAAUACCACCUACCCAGGCUGUAGUUAGGUGGACAAAACAAAGGAUGUCACAGCCAUGGGUGAGGGGGGCGCGUGGGGGGGGGCACCUCCAAGGGCUGUGAAAACUCAGGAUACUGGCUCUGAUAGUGAAGGUGCAUAUCAAAGGAAUGAUAUCAGCAAGCCCAGACCUCUUUUGUUCCUGCUACCUGCCUUUUGUUGCAAAAACUCCUGUAAGUCCUAGCUGCCCCUUCACCUCCCUGGAGUGGUUUCUCAGGGCUACCUGAGAUGCCUUUUCCUGGGCUUAAGCCCUAGUUUUGCCCCAAAUAAAACUCUCAACUUUCAGGUUGUGCUUUUUUUUUUUUUUUUCAGUCGACACCACCCUCUGGCCUUGAAUAGCAAAGGACUGGGUUUCUGGCAAGACGG